UGGGGGAUAUUGCACAAUGGGCGAAAGCCUGAUGCAGCGACGCCGCGUGGGGGAUGAAGGCUUUCGGGUUGUAAACCUCUUUCGCUAUCGAACAAGGCCCGCUUAGGGUGGGUUGAGGGUAGGUGGAGAAGAAGCGCCGGCUAACUACGUGCCAGCAGCCGCGGUAAUACGUAGGGCGCGAGCGUUGUCCGGAAUUAUUGGGCGUAAAGGGCUUGUAGGCGGCUUGUUGCGCCUGCUGUGAAAACGCGGGGCUUAACUUCGCGCGUGCAGUGGGUACGGGCAGGCUUGAGUGUGGUAGGGGUGACUGGAAUUCCAGGUGUAGCGGUCGAAUGCGCAGAUAUCUGGAGGAACACCGAUGGCGAAGGCAGGUCACUGGGCCAUUACUGACGCUGAGGAGCGAACGCAUGGGUAGCGAACAGG
rnacentral:rRNA from 1 species